rnacentral:rRNA from 1 species
AAAGGUGCUUGCACCUUUCAAGUGAGUGGCGAACGGGUGAGUAACACGUGGACAACCUGCCUCAAGGCUGGGGAUAACAUUUGGAAACAGAUGCUAAUACCGAAUAAAACUCAGUGUCGCAUGACACAAAGUUAAAAGGCGCUUUGGCGUCACCUAGAGAUGGAUCCGCGGUGCAUUAGUUAGUUGGUGGGGUAAAGGCCUACCAAGACAAUGAUGCAUAGCCGAGUUGAGAGACUGAUCGGCCACAUUGGGACUGAGACACGGCCCAAACUCCUACGGGAGGCUGCAGUAGGGAAUCUUCCACAAUGGGCGAAAGCCUGAUGGAGCAACGCCGCGUGUGUGAUGAAGGCUUUCGGGUCGUAAAGCACUGUUGUAUGGGAAGAACAGCUAGAAUAGGGAAUGAUUUUAGUUUGACGGUACCAUACCAGAAAGGGACGGCUAAAUACGUGCCAGCAGCCGCGGUAAUACGUAUGUCCCGAGCGUUAUCCGGAUUUAUUGGGCGUAAAGCGAGCGCAGACGGUUAAUUAAGUCUGAUGUGAAAGCCCGGAGCUCAACUCCGGAAUGGCAUUGGAAACUGGUUAACUUGAGUGCAGUAGAGGUAAGUGGAACUCCAUGUGUAGCGGUGGAAUGCGUAGAUAUAUGGAAGAACACCAGUGGCGAAGGCGGCUUACUGGACUGUAACUGACGUUGAGGCUCGAAAGUGUGGGUAGCAAACAGGAUUAGAUACCCUGGUAGUCCACACCGUAAACGAUGA